rnacentral:rRNA from 1 species
UCCGUAGGCGGGCAAUUAAGUCAGAGGUGAAAUCCCACAGCUCAACUGUGGAACUGCCUUUGAUACUGGUUGUCUUGAGUUAUAGUGAAGUAGAUAGAAUAUGUAGUGUAGCGGUGAAAUGCAUAGAUAUUACAUAGAAUACCGAUUGCGAAGGCAGUCUACUAACUGUAUACUGACGCUAAUGCACGAAAGCGUGGGGAGCGAACAGGAUUAGAUACCCUGGUAGUCC